CCCGCACGGCACGCUCGGGGGCGGGAGCUGCCCGGGAGAACACGGGGUCCCCAGCCCGGCAGGGGAUGCUCGGGGAGGCGGGAGUCGGGCAGGAGUGGCUGUAGGAAGGGAGGAGCAGUUUUACAGCCGUAAUUCCACUCUUUGGUGAGGAUGGGACAGGCUUCAUUGUCUCUUGCGUUUCUCGGGGGUGCCUGAUGUUAAAAGUCCUGCCAGUGAAGAAUUGCUCUCUUUGGAGUGGAGCACAGAUCCUCCCAGAAUUGACUAGUAACUUUUGGAUGCAUCCAGUUAUCUCCUGAUAUUAUUGAAUCUACUUCGCUUUUGAAGGAUCUGCUUUUUAGAAAGACAUUCACAGAGCAGGCAGGCCUCCAGGAUUCUCAAGGCUUUGAAGAAAUCGCCUCCUGGUGCGUGCUCCAUCCCUGAGCAGACAGAUUGCAUCAGUUUGUGUCUCCACAUGCAAAAAACAAUUCCAAAUUGUGUGCACAGCGAGUUAAUCCCUCCAGAGCGCUCUGGAUGCACUCAGAUUCACUCUCCCAGUGCUCAGGUUAUGCGCUCCUGUGCAGCAGGUUCCUGGUAGACUUCCAGGCACCUGGAAAAGCAGAAGCUGCUGUAAAACGACUGGCUGCUGGAUGGAAGAGAAUUUAGGUGGGCACUGGCUCAUGUGAUAUGCUGAUAUCUAAUAAGUACUCACUUAUACACAACUGCCUUCCUAACUGUAGAGCACUAGUGGACUCCAGCUGACUAACUUCAUGGAAUGUGUAAGCAUUAAGUUAAUGAGUGUAAUUCAGCCAUCACAAACUCUGAAAAAGGCUCAAAAACACCGCAGCUAAGACUAUUGGUUUGUAUGCCACAGAAGUAAAUGUGACCAUGUAAUGAAUAACAGGCUAAAAAUCAUCUUCCUGCUAUGUCAAAGUGGGUUGUAAGCAUUCACCCUAAAAAUCAUUGUAUUCUCUUCUAAGCAAGAGGCAGUUUUUUAAUUGUUCAGAGUAAAAAAAACUCCAUGGAUUUGUAAAAGGCCUUGUUGUUAUCCUAGAAGUAACCUCCUGCACCUGAUUGCCUGAAAUACAAUUCCUAUUUUUAGUGAAAUGUAAAAGUCUCUUCUGUGGUGAUUACAGUGAGUAGGUACUGUUGCUGCAAGUCUUUUUCUUUAUGAGAGACUUGUCAGUGGUCAGUUACAGAAUGGAUUUUUGUGCCAGAUUAUUUCUUCCCUGGCAAAGCUGGGAGAAGGAAGCACAGAACCAAACUCCUAAAAUUCUAAAAAUCAGUUUGCAUUGAGGACAUUGCAAUUUGCAUGCAAGUGACAUCAAGUGUAAACCUGCAAGAAAACACAGGCUAAAAAUCAUCCUCUCACCAUCUGAAAAGUACAAAGAAUACACAGAAUUUUCAGCCAAGACUUGUGUAAAAGUGCCCAAGUAGCUUACACUUUACAAAAACAGUGGUUGAUGAAUUCAGUGCAGAGGUGAAUUUUAUGUGAUCUUUGCUUAUUUCUGCUUCAAGGAAUGUAUUUUAGUUUUGGUUUGUUUUGUGUUUUUCUGGUUUUUUUCCAAGAAGCACUGGGAAAUAGAGGCAUUAUUAGUACUAGGGCAGGAGACCAGCUGAACCCUACAGUCAAUUCUACACUUGUUCUGCCUCUCUUGCAAAGGUGGAACUCCGUCUUGUUUUACUCUGCAGUUAGAAUAUAACAGCUUACAAGCUUUAGAAGUCAGACACAAACUUCUCUUCCCUCCAUUGCACACUACUUCAUACUCCUUGAAAUUCACUCCUUCCCUAUCUCAUCGCAAACAAAAAAAUUAAUAACUUAAAAAAGCUUAAAGGCAUCAUAAAGACACUUUUAUAUAUGUGUA